rnacentral:rRNA from 1 species
CAGGCCUAACACAUGCAAGUCGAACGAUGCUUUCGGGCAUAGUGGCGCACGGGUGCGUAACGCGUGGGAAUCUGCCCUUGGGUUCGGAAUAACCGUUAGAAAUGACGGCUAAUACCGGAUGAUGACGUAAGUCCAAAGAUUUAUCGCCCGAGGAUGAGCCCGCGUGAGAUUAGGUAGUUGGUGGGGUAAGGGCCUACCAAGCCGACGAUCUCUAGCUGGUCUGAGAGGAUGAUCAGCCACACUGGGACUGAGACACGGCCCAGACUCCUACGGGAGGCAGCAGUGGGGAAUAUUGGACAAUGGGCGAAAGCCUGAUCCAGCAAUGCCGCGUGAGUGAUGAAGGCCUUAGGGUUGUAAAGCUCUUUUACCCGGGAUGAUAAUGACAGUACCGGGAGAAUAAGCUCCGGCUAACUCCGUGCCAGCAGCCGCGGUAAU